rnacentral:rRNA from 1 species
GACGAACGCUGGCGGCGUGCCUAAUACAUGCAAGUAGAACGCUGAAGCGAGGAGCUUGCUCUUCUUGGAUGAGUUGCGAACGGGUGAGUAACGCGUAGGUAACCUGCCUUGUAGCGGGGGAUAACUAUUGGAAACGAUAGCUAAUACCGCAUAACAAUGGAUGACCCAUGUCAUUUAUUUGAAAGGGGCAAAUGCUCCACUACAAGAUGGACCUGCGUUGUAUUAGCUAGUGGGUGAGGUAACGGCUCACCUAGGCGACGAUACAUAGCCGACCUGAGAGGGUGAUCGGCCACACUGGGACUGAGACACGGCCCAGACUCCUACGGGAGGCAGCAGUAGGGAAUCUUCGGCAAUGGGGGCAACCCUGACCGAGCAACGCCGCGUGAGUGAAGAAGGUUUUCGGAUCGUAAAGCUCUGUUGUAAGUCAAGAACGAGUGUGAGAGUGGAAAGUUCACACUGUGACGGUAGCUUACCAGAAAGGGACGGCUAACUACGUG